AACGUAGGAGACGAACGUUAUCCGGAGUUACUGGGCGUAAAGGGCGUGUAGGCGGUAUGUUAAGUCUGGCGUGAAAGCUCUCGGCUAAACCGGGAGAGGUCGUUGGAUACUGGCACACUUGAGGAUGGUAGAGGCGUGUGGAAUUCCGGGUGUAGUGGUGAAAUGCGUAGAGAUCCGGAGGAUCACCAGUGGCGAAGGCGACACGCUGGGCCAUACCUGACGCUAAAGCGCGACAGCAUGGGGAGCAAACGGG
rnacentral:rRNA from 1 species